CUACUAGCCCAAUUAGGAGCCGCUGGCUCAACCAUUUCCCCCCAAAUCAAACCCUAGUUCCCAAUCCUCCUCCCCAACCAACACCGUCGUCGCCGCCGCCGACCACCUCCUCCCUGGACCGCGCCCUCCAUCGCCGACUACAUCCACCCACGACCGUGCUCUCCACCUCCCAUCCCUCCGCCGACCCAACCGCCCCUUCUCCAGUGAAGAAAUGCUUGAUCUCGGCUAGCGGCUGGUAGUGGCAAGUGCCUUCAUGACGGACUUGGUAGCUCCCGGAUGCUCCUUCUCCAAAGCCUUGGGCAGCGCACCGCCGGCACAUCUCGCCACCGUUCUCGCGCCUGGUCGUUGUCCUCAUCCCAGGUCGCUGCAGGUUGCUACCGUUCUCGUCCUCGACCAGGUCGCCGCCUUCCUUACCUAGGUCGUCGGCCUUGCUCUUCCUUAUCCAGGAGCUCGAGGCUCGCCUCAGAUCGACCGGCUUCCAGCUCCAGCCUCCCCUAGGUAUCCUCCACCGCCUGCUGCUACUUCUCUCCUCCGACGGCUGCAGCAAGCCAUUCCUGCUGGUGCUCGCCUCAGCCACUGACCAUGAGGCAGAAGAAGUCCGUCACAAGAAAAUCUUGCUUUUAUGGAUUGAUGCUGGGACUUGGGGAGCUGCUCUUUGCAUAAUUUUGGUCCUAAUACAUAUACUUUUUUCCUUUAACUGGUGUCUGCUUCAUAUUUUUGACUUCUUUUAGUAGUUCUUUCCUAUGGUUGCAGGUGUAUGAGACUUCGGAGCUUCUAUAUGCAACAGCAAGAAGUGAGGAGGAACAAAUGAACCAUAAAAAGCUUAAAUUUGAACUCUGUUGUUGGAAGUGGAUAAGUCAAUGGCAAAAGCAGCAACGUGGCCACAAGGAAGCUGAGGAGGUUUUCCAAAGAUACACAAGUUAAUGGAGGUUUGUAAGAUCUACAAGCGGUUGUCAAUUUUGGAAGAUCUACAACGACUGAAGGUGUGGAAGACCUAUAAUUAAGUUGGUGUAGUGAUAAUGUAGUGCACCUAGUUUGUUGAACCUGGAGUACUUUUUGUGCCAGCACAACGUCCUUAUGUAUGGCCCUUUUCUGUAUGUAUGUAUGUAUCCAGAAACAUAUGUAUCUGACAUGUUAUGUUUAUAUGACAUGUUAUGUUUAUAUCGAAGGAAAGCUUUAAGGUUUUGGAUGA